rnacentral:rRNA from 1 species
GGAGGAAUAUUGCGCAAUGGGGGCAACCCUGACGCAGCAACGCCGCGUGAGUGAGGAAGGUUUUUGGACUGUAAAGCUCUGUCGAGCGGGAAGAAGUGUACCAUGGCUAAUAUCCAUGAUAUUUGACGGUACCGCUAGAGGAAGCACCGGCUAACUCCGUGCCAGCAGCCGCGGUAAUACGGGGGGGUGCGAGCGUUGUUCGGAAUUAUUGGGCGUAAAGAGCGUGUAGGCGGCUGAGCAAGUCAGAUGUGAAAGCCCCGGGCUUAACCCGGGAAGUGCAUUUGAAACUGUUCGGCUUGAGUAGGGGAGAGGAAAGUGGAAUUCCUGGUGUAGAGGUGAAAUUCGUAGAUAUCAGGAGGAACACCGGCGGCGAAGGCGACUUUCUGGCCCUAUACUGACG